UUCCCCUUCGGGGGACAAAGUGACAGGUGGUGCAUGGUUGUCGUCAGCUCGUGUCGUGAGAUGUUGGGUUAAGUCCCGCAACGAGCGCAACCCUUAAGCUUAGUUGCCAUCAUUAAGUUGGGCACUCUAAGUUGACUGCCGGUGACAAACCGGAGGAAGGUGGGGAUGACGUCAAAUCAUCAUGCCCCUUAUGAUUUGGGCUACACACGUGCUACAAUGGACAAUACAAAGGGCAGCGAAACCGCGAGGUCAAGCAAAUCCCAUAAAGUUGUUCUCAGUUCGGAUUGUAGUCUGCAACUCGACUACAUGAAGCUGGAAUCGCUAGUAAUCGUAGAUCAGCAUGCUACGGUGAAUACGUUCCCGGGUCUUGUACACACCGCCCGUCACACCACGAGAGUUUGUAACACCCGAAGCCGGUGGAGUAACCUUUUAGGAGCUAGCCGUCGAAGGUGGG
rnacentral:rRNA from 1 species